rnacentral:lncRNA from 1 species
UAAAAUAUAAUUUUUAAAACAUAAUGGAUUUACAAAUCUCAUAUAUACGUGAAUGUUAUAGCCCAAUUUUACCCUAAACCCAUUACAGUUAAACCCAGCUAACCUAUCAGCCCAAUAACCUAAAUACAUAAACCCCAAAUAACCCAAGGCCCAUUACAACUUAAAACCGGUUGGCCCAAAACCAACUUAAUACCCAAGCCCAAUUAACCCUUUGGCCUAACUAGGGUUUCAGAAAAGCUGAAACCCUAGCCACUUUCUGAGAACCCCAGCGCCGCAAUGUCCCAUCCCUACUUGCCUCUGCCAAGUCGGCCAACUGCCCCACCGCCACUGCACCGCCGCCAUGCUGGUCACGUCCGCCACCUGCUCCAUCUGCAAGACCAAGCAAUCACGCAAACAAUAGAUUUAGGCAUUGUAAAGGCUAUAAAAAGCCAUGAAAACCAAUGUAAAAGGAUUCGGCAAUCUUAAUAAAAAAUAGAUUUCAAUAAUUAGAAACACAAAAAAAUAAUUUCAAUACAUAUGCAAAUAGUGGUUUGAAGGAAGAAAUAAUACAAGAACAACACCAAAACAGAGAUCCCAAAAGCGAGAAUCAAAAUCGAGAAACCUAAGGUGAUCUUUUUCUUAUUUUAGUUUUGAUUUUUUAGGCCUAUUUUAUACAUAUAUAUAUACUAAAAAAUAUAAGAAAAUAAUAAAAUAAACAACAAUAAAAAAGGGAGAAAAUUUUACCUUUUUCGAAAAUCUGGCCACCGUGUACUGUGGCCGGCACCGGCGACGGACGGCGGCCGGUGAGGGUCCGGUGACCGGCCCAUGGCCGGAUCCCUUCCCUCCCCCUCUCCCUCUUCUCUCCUUCUUCUCUCCCC